CUUUAUUAAAAAUGCUAUUCUAAUUGACAUAUUAACAUGUGAAAAAAGCCAUUAAGUUUAAAUGUACAUGUAUAUACAAAAGUUUAGUAGAAACUGUUUGUAUACCCAAGAAUGUACUAAAAAAUUAAUGGAAAGAGUUAACAUAGAGAAACUACUAAAUUCAGAUACAAAUUGUAACCAGAAACGGAAACACGUAAACUCUUGAAAUCAAGUUGGUUUUAUGGAAAAAUUUAGUGAAACGGCUAGGAAACUGGAUCAGUAAAAAUUAAUAUCCGUUUGCGCGAGGAUUAUAGAAUCAAGCAAAUCAGACAUCACAUGAUAAAUUCAAUGAUGAUAAUUCAAUGAAAAUGAAUUAAUGAAAAUUUUCAAUUAACGAAACAUUUGGCAAUGCUUUAUGUGUACUUAUGAGUGUAAAAGUUCCUAUCGGAAUUAAUUUAAAAUUUGGUCUUUUCAUGUCAUAUUGGAAAUGUCUAAUAGAAACAGAUAAGAAACCAAGUUCAAUUAUUAAUUAUAAUUAAUAAAAAUAAUGCAUUGUUAUGUGCAAUAUGUACAUAUAAGAGAAAUUGAAUUAUGAAAACCAAAACCGCUUGGGUGCUGUGUAUUAUAACACUUCUCCUUAGGCGACUGGCAAAAAUUAACUUAACGAGUUCAACAUUGUCGCACGUCGAUUUUUAAUGUGCCACGUGAAGGUGUCUAAAAAUGGAUAUCACAUAGAAUAACGUGACAAAAAAUAUUUUAUGAAUCCUGGUAAGGGGCAGACUAGACGAAUUAACCCUUUAUUUAUUCAUUAGAAUACCUUUGGAAUAUUCCGAACAUUUGGAAAGAUUGACGAAACGUGUAAUUAAAGUAACCAAUCCAUACAUUCAUACAUAUGCAACAAAUAUUGAAUUGCAUACAUACAUUUACCCUACCUAUUUCUUUAUAUUAAUCACAAAUUGACGGUGGUAAGACGCAUUUAUUUAAGUUGAAUUUAAUUUUUACAAAAAUACAAUGGACAAAUAAGCAUAGAAAAUAAUAUAUACGACAAUAUCACUCUAGAUGACUUUAAUUGUCUAUAAGUUCCAUUUAUACGACGUAUAUAUUUUCGUAUUUUGAGCUUUCUGGAUUCUGUCGACAAAUGAAGUCUCCUUUGAAUAGUAGUUGCAAAAAAUUUAAUUAAUUUUGCCAUCGUCGCUAAAUUUUUUAAUUCAAUACGACACAGUUUUGUCAUUUUCUUGGUUGUAAGCUCUCGAGGCACCCAUUUUGCACAGAGAUUUCCCUUACUCAACUAUUCAUAAACGAUACUUAUGUAUGUUGAUAACGAUAUAUGAUAAAACAUUCCUUUGACAUCUUUAAAACGUUAGCUAUUCGAUUAAAUUUAUUUUACCGUCAUUCCAAAUCAUGAUGUGUAUUGCAUGGAUGACAUGAUACGAAAUUUUUUGAUUCGAGAGAGAGCUGUCAAAACCCACAUGUUUUUAAAAAUAUUUGUCGAUCAUGCCACCGUCGAGAGAAAAUGGAUAAAGAAGUAUUUUAAAAAUAACUUUUGGGCAUUUUGCAUUUCGAUAUUUCCGAGUAAACCUAUAUCACGCAUAUAGAGCCAACACAAAUAAAAAAAACUAUAUCAAAGAAACAAUACAACUCAUAAUAAUAUAUCAUGAUUUUAUGAUUAACGUUUUAAAUGCAAAUAUUUCGAAUUUAUAACAAAGAUAGCAAACCAAAUUUAAUUGUACGUUAUUCAAAAGUAUUUCUGCCGUUCCUUGAAAUUUCGUUUCGCACUGUUUUUGUCAGAUACUUUUAGCGGGUUAAUUUCUCGCAACCCGCCUUUUUUGAAAUUAGCUGUUCAAAACUCCUUAAUCUCCAUAAUCAGGAAAAAAAAAUGAGAUAAAAAUUAGAGAAAAUGAGAGAGUCUCGUUUCAUGUCAUCCUUGGUGGAUUGUUUUGUGUUCACCCAUAUCCAUUUAUUCUGGAACUCCACUGCGUUCAUCGUAUUCACUGCUUUACCUAAUUUAAGGCCCGGACUAUACCAAUCAUACCAACUUGUCAGCCUUUUCCAUAAUUUCAAAAAACGCGGUUGUUUUUUACUUUCUUUAGCUACAGGAUUUUAGCGUUUAUAUUUCUGAAAUAUGUUUUAAACUAAUUAAAUAUCAACAACACAAAACAUUUUAUAUAAAAUUUUAUUGUGAAUACGUAAUACUGAAAGUAAAGGUUUACACACUGUGCAUAUUGGUUUUGAAUAUGUUUUCAUAAUUUUACUAUAAGUUAUUAAAGCUGUCAGUUUUCAAUAUCCUAGUUUUUUAUAUUUACAUCAUAAUAUUUCACAAAAUAAAGUAACUCGUAUUUACAUUACUAAUUCUUAUAUAUUUAAAAGUUACAAUAAAUUUGCUAGUAUUCAAAUUUAUACGCCGAUUAAAAUUUUCUGUAACAUAAUAUUCUAUUCAACUUUAUAUUUUGUGAUUUGACAUUCCUGGUGGAUUCUAAUAUACAUUGUCUAAGUAUUUCAUUUCCGCUCAACUAUUUUCUUCUACAAUCUAAUAUAUUACUGGAAUACUAAAAGCUAUUCCAGUAUAACUUCAGAAAAUAAUCUUACAAAUUUCUACUGAUUUAAAAUUAAAAUAUAUUUUUAUAAAUACAAUAUAUUUGGCUCACUUGACAAUAAUUUUAUCAUACAAACAUGUAAUUAGUAUCUAUGCAUAAACGUAUGUAAAUACUUUCAACUAAAAUCAUCGUAAUUAUUUUUAAUUGGCAUCUCAAUGGUUAUUGGUUCUGAUACAGAGCCACUUUUGUCAAUUUCAUUUGGCACUAACAGCUUUAUUAUAUCUAAUAAUCAUAUACAUAAUGUAUUUUCUUUUACUUUCGGUUGCGUAAUAUAUAUAUAUAUAUAUAAUUCCAAAAUAGAGGUAAUCAAAAAGCGUAGUAAAUUAUUCGGCAUCAUUACUACAAAUUUCGCUAAUUCUAUAAUAUUAUUUAAUAAUACAAUUAUUUGCUUUGUACUACAUAAUUAAAAUCUAAAAGUAGUUACAUUGUUUUUUGUUAACAAUCAAAAUAAUUACAUUCAAAUAUAUGAAUGUGUGUAUAUAAAUAUUUCAUUGAGCUUCAAGUAAAGUACCUAACAUACUAAUUAACCGCUGAAAUUAUAGGACUACAUGUGAACUAUUACAUUGCUUUAUGGAUGUAUACAUGUGAAUAAGUACACAAAAAUGAUUAGCAUUUUAUUUUCGUAUAGAUUAUAGAACUUAGAUUUUCCUCUUUUUGUUUGAGAAUUUGUUUCCUUAAUUCGGAUUUUAUUGGUUUAUGUUAUUUCUCUAAUAUUAAAACUGUGUUUGUGAAACAAUUAGUAUUGUAUAAACUUUCUUCAACUAACAUACUAAUUAUUUCAAAUUAGUUUUACAAAUUAUGAGGAAAAUACAUAGACGGAAAGUUAGAGAAUUUUAAGCAUAUACAUAUGUAUGUAUGCAAUAAGAUGCAAUUACGAGUGUAACAUUUUCAUGAAGUUCACAAGUCGUUCUAUAUCUUUAGUUUGCUCUUGAAAAAAACAGUUAUAAAAUCAAACCUUUGAAUGCAAUCACUUAUUUAAAUAUAUAAUAAAUGUACAUAUUCAUUUUCAUUGUUUUUCAAUUUUCAAUGCUACACUUGCUACCAAGUUCGCUUUUAUAUAAAAUAUAAAACGUAUUGAUAGAGUUGUACAUAUGUACAUAUGUAUGUAUAUUAUAUACCUUCUAGUGUUAUAUAAUGAUGAGAAUGUAAUGAGAAGAACCGUAAAUAGCGCGACUUGUGAACAUCUUUUUUAUUAUAUUGUAUUGUACUUAUGUUAACUUUUAGUUUCAUUUUUCUCGUUCUACACUGUUAAAUUAUUAAAUCAUAGUAUUAUGUACAUAUAUACUACGUAUAUUUGUUUGUAGAUAAUUUUUUUGUAUAAAAGAAAGGGAUGUCGUAUAAGGCAUUAUGUACAUUGUUGACUAUUUCACUUUUUAAUUAAACUAUUCCCAAAUCCACAUAUGUAUAUACGUUUUAACAUUUGUCAUUGGGAUAUAGAAGUUGCAAUUAAAUUUUCGACUGCAUUUUUUCUUUAAUUGAUUCGAUCAUUAAUUUCACAAUAAGUUCGGAUACUAUAAAUCAAGAAUGUUAGAGUACAAGAUUACUUUUGAGUUAAGAAGAAGAAGCAUAGAACAUCAUGUAAAAUGUAAACAAAAACGUAAACACUUUUGUUAAUUUGGGAAAUAGACUUAAUUUAUUAGUUUGUAGUGGAAAAAUGUUACUGAAAUUAAUAGAAUAAUGUUACAGGAAAAUACUUUCCCUUAUCAUGAGCGUUUUUUACUAAAUAAAUUAGCAAAAUUGACAUUGCUCUUUAAACAA